ACAGAGAGAAGCGAUCCCGCGAGGAGGAGCAAAUCUGAAAAAAGCGUCCCUAGUUCGGAUUGUAGGCUGAAACUCGCCUACAUGAAGCUGGAAUUGCUAGUAAUCACAGGUCAGCAUACUGUGGUGAAUACGUUCCCGGGCCUUGUACACACCGCCCGUCACACCAUGAGAGUCGGGAACACCCGAAGUCCGUAGUCUAACCGCAAGGGGGGCGCGGCCGAAGGUGGGUCCGGUAAUUGGGGUGAAGUCGUAACAAGGUAGC
rnacentral:rRNA from 1 species